rnacentral:lncRNA from 1 species
AGAACCUCCCAGUAUUCCUACAGGUCAGCCAUGUGGGCCUGAGAGGCUGGAGUGGAGUGUAUGGCAGGAAGGAGGCUCCUUUGCCUGUGCAAACAGAGGCUCAGAGAAUGCAGUCAAAAUCUUGCUGGUUGGCCUGGGUGAUACAUUAAAUAGAGUACCUUGAAACUACUCAAGGCAAUAGCUGCUGUUUCCACUCCGAAGAAAGCAAAGCCAUUGCCAAGCUCUCGGGAAAGUUUACAGCCCUUCUUGCACCUGCUCCAGGGCAGCAUUCACAUACUUCCUGAACCUCCUGUUGCUACGAUUAUGGGGAGCCGACAAGAGAAGACCACUCAGCCGUACUUUAUAACCAAAUGAAUGUCUUGAUUCCAGUUGCUGGGACGAUACUCAGAUAUGUCUAGGAGUCAGCUUGAACAGGAGAAGAAAUCUCUAGAUUCUUUUGUCUGGGUAAACGAGAUCACUGGAGAAACCACCUUUCCUCCAGGGGAGGAGACCACACCUGCAACCUCUGGAGAGAAGCGUCAGGCAAGGUCGGGGUCUCUGCGAGUGAGCAUGCCCUGCGCUGCGGCUGUCCACAGACCUGCUUCUCCAGUGAACCCCGAGGCUGCAGGCAGAGGCCCCGGGACAGGAAGCUUGCUUCUACCCGACCUGUCCCUGUCCCGAGCUCUGUCCCCAUCAGGGGGCGCUCUGCCGACGCAGCACCACUUGGGAGCGUCCCCUCCUCUGGCAGCGAGGCUUCCAGCCAGCCCUUCUCUGCCCUGGGCCCUGUCCUGCAAGCUAAGGAAUGUGCUGACAAGAAAUAACCGGUUUUCCUUUUGAGCUAGGAAGUGCCAAGGAAGCGGCCGCCUACCCACACCUGCAGAGCUCUAUGAAGGUCCCAUCAGCUCCACCCUCAGAAGCACAAGUUUACAGGAAUCCGCAAAAAUAUCUGCUUUCAGACCCAAUACAAACUUUUCUGAGAUUUUUUUUCAGAUUGCCUUCUACGGCUUUCUUUACCUCCUCAGCUGUCUUGACACUUUGAGGGUGAAUACCGCAGUUUUGGUGCUGGAGUCAAAUCACCUGUGGGACAGAAGCAGGCCUUGGGUGGGAUGAGAACAGGCCAGGGUGAGUGGGACCCACUCGCUGGACACUGGGCACACUUGGGAGUGGAAAGGGGCUGAAACCUGUUUUUCGGGUUAGCACUCCACAAGCUUCAGGCCUGUGCUUAUAUUGUCCCUACUAUCUUCCAGUUCAAGCCUAGGACAAGCCCUCAUGAUGUCAGAGUUCCUUGAAAGGUGGUCACCUCGGUCUCUUUCACCAUUCUCACUAUGUAGACCAAGCCACCUG